rnacentral:lncRNA from 1 species
AUUUGGGGAACAGCAUCUUUGGUGGUUGGUUUGCGUGCCUGUCGUGCCAUUUGGUAAAGUUGAUGUUGAUGCUUUCGUUUUGCUCACACCACUUGCUUGGUCAAAAUUGGCGCUUUGACCAGCUAGUGGCAGGAGUACAAUUGUGAUGGGGUUAGAUUGCUUCUGAAUUCUCACAACUUUAGCAGAUGCUCUUAAAUUCUGCUUGGACUUGAGUAACCUUGUCGUGUUCAUGGUGAUACUUAAUCUUAAAUCAAGAUAUGAUAGCUGCUUAAUAAACUGCUCACCAUGUUAUCUAUUUCACACAGAGUAAAGCCAAACAGUAGGUGCUAGUGUGUUAUAUUCCAAAUUCAGAUCCAAGAAAAAAAAUCUGGAGCUAUGCCAAUUUUCAGAUCCUCUUUUAGUGCAAGGAAUUGGGAUGAGUGAUGUUGGUCAACCUCUAAUAUCGCCAAAAUUGGCAACCUGUGUUCAUACCUCCAUCGUCUCUGUAUUCAAGAUCAUAGUAAACUAAAAUUCGAUUAUCACCGUCUUUGAGAAAUAACAUCUUUUAAUCGCUGCUAUCAAAAAUCGAGAUCUCAUGCAUCCAUAAAUCUUUAUCCCUUUCUGCAAGUUUUUUUUCCCGGUUUGUGAUUCUGACAUGGUUUCUUUCUAUCUAUAGCCUACUACAACAACAUGAUCUUCUUUGAGACGAUCUCACAAUCUGCGAACCUGGAAACCAUCAAGAUGAAGCUGUGGGAGCAGAUCAGCGGAAACAUUGUGCUUGGUGCAUACAACCAGAUCCCGGAAUGGCAGCUCAAGCUAGGGCCGAGGGAAAGAGGACCAGUCCUUGUUAUCCUUGACGAUGUGUGGUCUCUCUCACAGCUUGAGGAUCUCGUCUUCAAGUUCCCUGGGUGCAAGACUCUUGUUGUAUCAAGAUUUAAGUUCCCCACGUUGGUAAAACAGACAUAUGAAAUGCAGUUGCUUGAUGAGGAGGAGGCUUUUUCUGUCUUCUGCCGUGCUGCCUUCGAUCAGGAGUGUGUUCCUAAGACUGCUGACAAGAGAUUGGUUAAGCAGGUCUCUGCAGAGUGCAGAGGCCUUCCUCUAGCUCUGAAGGUCAUUGGUGCAUCGUUGCGUGAUCAACCUCCUAAGAUAUGGCUGAGUGCCAAGAACCGGUUGUCGCGAGGGGAGGCUAUUUCUGACUCCCAUGAGACCAAGCUCCUGGAGAGAAUGGCGGCAAGCGUUGAGUGCUUGUCAGAGAAGGUUAGAGAUUGUUUCCUUGAUCUGGGCUGCUUCCCAGAGGAUAAGAAGAUCCCUCUUGAUGUGUUGAUCAACAUUUGGAUGGAGAUUCAUGAUCUUGAUGAACCAGAUGCUUUCGCCAUCUUGGUUGAGCUUUCAGACAAGAACCUUCUUACUCUUGUCAACGAUGCACAGUAUGUAUCAUUUGCCAUAUAAAUGCUUCGAAAUAUUUAAGAAUUGAUAUUAUCUCGAAGAACAGGUUUUAACUCUUUGCUGCUCUUUGUGCAGGAACAAGGCUGGAGAUUUGUAUAGUAGCUACCAUGACUACUCGGUGAUGCAACAUGAUGUGUUGAGAGAUCUUGCACUCCACAUGAGUGGACGUGACCCUCUGAAUAAGCGGAGGCGGUUGGUGAUGCCAAGAAGGGAAGAAACUCUUCCAAGGGACUGGCAGAGGAACAAGGACACUCCGUUUGAAGCUCAGAUAGUUUCCAUUCAUACAGGUGCAACAUUUGUCCUUUAUUGUUCUUUACUUUUCUGAAUAUUUGUUGCCAACAACUUGUCAUCCAACAUCUGUAGUGAAUUCGUUCUGAAUCUUACUGAAAUUUGGAAGAACCAUCUUAGUAAUAAACAAAAGUACACAACAUAAUGAGACUUUUUGUUUGUCCCAUGAUUGUUAAGUCUACCAGCAAACUUAUCAUCAUCCCUAAAAUUCUAUUGUUACACCAGUGUUGCAGGAACAUGGUUUUGUAGUUUUGUUCUGAAACAUUUCCUUCAUAGAUUAGUAGUAGUUUCCACAUGUGCUCUUCCUUGGGACAGACUGAUCUGACCAACUGUUACCAAAACUCCAGGUGAAAUGAAAGAGACUGACUGGUUCCAGAUGAGCUUCCCCAAGGCCGAAGUGCUCAUCCUCAACUUCGCCUCAAACGUUUACUACCUCCCACCAUUCAUUGCAACGAUGCAGAACCUGAAAGCCUUGGUGCUGAUCAACUACGGCACCACCAGCGCAACCCUCGACAACCUAUCUGCCUUCUCCAUGCUCAGCGGCCUGAGGAGCCUCUGGUUGGAGAAGAUCACACUCCCACCGCUGCCAAAGACCACGAUCCCGCUGAAGAACCUGCGCAAGAUCUCCCUCGUCCUCUGCGAGCUGAACAACAGCCUAAGAGGGUCGACGAUGGACCUCUCCAUGACCUUCCCCCGCCUGUCCAACCUCACAAUUGACCACUGCAUAGAUCUGAAGGAGCUGCCAUCAAGUAUCUGCGAGAUCAUCUCCCUCGAGACCAUCUCCAUCUCGAACUGUCAUGACCUCACCGAGCUUCCAUAUGAGCUGGGCAAGUUGCAUUGCCUGAGCAUCCUUCGGGUCUAUGCCUGCCCAGCGUUGUGGCGGCUCCCGCCGUCGGUGUGCAGCCUGAAGAGGCUGAAAUACCUUGACAUAUCCCAGUGUAUCAACCUGACAGACCUCCCAGAGGAGCUUGGUCACCUGACGAACCUGGAGAAGAUCGACAUGCGGGAAUGCUCGCGCCUAAGGAGCCUCCCAAGGUCGUCGUCCUCCCUGAAGUCCCUCGGCCAUGUCGUCUGCGACGAGGAGACGGCGUUGCUGUGGAGGGAGGCUGAGCAGGUAAUCCCUGACCUCCGGGUGCAGGUGGCAGAGGAGUGUUACAACCUGGACUGGCUUGUAGACUGAUGUCACGUUCUGGGGGCUCUGGGCUUCCAAACUGACCAUGUACAUAUGAUGUUUAUAUGUUGCCCUGUGUAGUGCAGCAAGAGUAAUCAAUCCACUGGCCAAUUUUGAC